AUGGCUGGUGAGAAGACGGGGCUGGUGCUGCUGGACUUCUGGGUGAGCCCGUUCGCGCAGCGCUGCCGCAUUGCGCUGGCCGAGAAGGGCCUGGCCUGCGAGUCCCUGGAGCAGGAGCUUCUGGGCGCCAAGAGCGACCUCCUCCUUGGCUCCAACCCCGUCCACAAGAAGGUCCCCGUGCUCCUCCACGACGGCCGCGCCGUCUGCGAGUCCCUCGUCAUCCUCGAGUACAUCGAGGACGCCUUCCCCGGCGCGGCCCCUCUGCUCCUCCCCACCGACCCGCACGCGCGCGCGCAGGCGCGGUUCUGGGCCGACUACGUCGACAAGAGGGUGUACAGCUGCGGGACGCGGCUAUGGAAGCUCAAGGGGGAGGAGCGCGCGGCGGCGCGGGCCGACAUGCUGGAGACGCUCAGGACGCUGGACGCCGAGCUCGGCGACAAGGCAUUCUUCGGCGGUGAGGCGUUCGGGUUCGUGGACGUCACCCUCAUACCGCUCACGUCGUGGUUCUACAGCUACGAGAAGCACGGCGGGUUCAGCGUCGAGGAAGAGUGCCCGAGGCUGGCGGAGUGGGCGCGGCGGUGCGGGGAGAGGGAGACCGUGGCCAAGGUCCUGACGCCACCGGAGGAGGUGCACGACUUCAUCGGCCUGCUCAAGAAGCACUACGGCCUCGAGUAG
rnacentral:rRNA from 1 species